GGGAAAGUGGCUCAGUGGUAGAGCGCUUGCCUUGCAUGCAUGAAGCCCUGGGUUCGAUUCCCCAGCACCA
rnacentral:tRNA from 1 species